AAAAGAAACACAAAGAAAAGGAACUAAUACCUAAUUUGGAUCGCCUCUCUAUCUCUCGCGACCUCUCUCUCUCUCUCGACGAACAGGAUGGAAAUCCUCUGUCUUCUCCGGUGAAAUCGAGCUCUUCUCUGCCUCUCCGCUUCUCUCUGCCUCUCUGCGUCUCUGCUUCUCUCCACCACUUCGCUUUUCUCCCCCCUUUCUCUGCCUCUAUGCUUCCUCCACCUCUCCGCCUCUCUCUUUCUCCACUUCUCUCCACCUCUCCGCCACUCUCUUUCUCUGACAUCGUGUUCACCUAAGAUAUGGAGUUAGACCUACCUAAGCGACUGUUUGGUUUGGGUUUGGAACCUCAGGUUGAUAAGAUUAACAAUUGCUGCAAGAUGCAACUUAUCAGGAAUCUGAAGAAAGCUAUGCCUCAAGAGUAUAAAGACGUGAAGAGAGAUCCUGUUUUCAAGCAUAUCAUGGCUAUUGCGGAAAACAAACUCAAGUUUUCGGCCAUAUUGGUGGAUAGUUUCUUGUGUAAGCAGCUUAUUACCUUGAAGAUGCAUGAGAAGUGGUUUGUUUUUGUGAGGACGCCUCUCACAUCCAUGAUCCAUACGCAUAUUCACGAGCAUCCCAUGCUAAAGAUUUUGAGAUCUCACAUCCAUGAUCCAUACGCAUAAUCUGUAUUAUAUCAUUGCAUUUCGGCCUUUCCUUAACGCCUUCAUACUUUUGCAUAAUCAGACUGCCUAUAGUUUUGGCUGAACCAAUCCUACCGGCUUUGGUUUUGCUUGAAGGUGCACAUGUAUGUUCACCAACAUACUUUUUGAUAAUGAAAUAUGUAGAAUCUUUCAAACA